rnacentral:rRNA from 1 species
ACGCUGGCGGCAUGCUUUACACAUGCAAGUCGGACGGCAGCACAGAGAAGCUUGCUUCUUGGGUGGCGAGUGGCGAACGGGUGAGUAAUAUAUCGGAACGUACCGAGUAAUGGGGGAUAACUAAUCGAAAGAUUAGCUAAUACCGCAUAUUCUCUGAGGAGGAAAGCAGGGGACCUUCGGGCCUUGCGUUAUUCGAGCGGCCGAUAUCUGAUUAGCUAGUUGGUGGGGUAAAGGCCUACCAAGGCGACGAUCAGUAGCGGGUCUGAGAGGAUGAUCCGCCACACUGGGACUGAGACACGGCCCAGACUCCUACGGGAGGCAGCAGUGGGGAAUUUUGGACAAUGGGCGCAAGCCUGAUCCAGCCAUGCCGCGUGUCUGAAGAAGGCCUUCGGGUUGUAAAGGACUUUUGUCAGGGAAGAAAAGGCUGUUGCUAAUACCGACAGCUGAUGACGGUACCUGAAGAAUAAGCACCGGCUAACUACGUGCCAGCAGCCGCGGUAAUACGUAGGGUGCGAGCGUUAAUCGGAAUUACUGGGCGUAAAGCGAGCGCAGACGGUUACUUAAGCAGGAUGUGAAAUCUCCCGGGCUCAACCUGGGAACUGCGUUCUGAACUGGGUGACUAGAGUGUGUCAGAGGGAGGUAGAAUUCCACGUGUAGCAGUGAAAUGCGUAGAGAUGUGGAGGAAUACCGAUGGCGAAGGCAGCCUCCUGGGAUAACACUGACGUUCAUGCUCGAAAGCGUGGGUAGCAAACAGGAUUAGAUACCCUGGUAGUCCACGCCCUAAACGAUGUCAAUUAGCUGUUGGGCAACUUGAUUGCUUAGUAGCGUAGCUAACGCGUGAAAUUGACCGCCUGGGGAGUACGGUCGCAAGAUUAAAACUCAAAGGAAUUGACGGGGACCCGCACAAGCGGUGGAUGAUGU